AUGAUGUGUGUGUGCGCGCUGGAUGACAUGUGUGUGAGUGCUGGAUGAUGUGUGUGUGCGCGCGUGCUGGAUGAUGUGUGUGUGCGCGUGUGCUGGAUGAUGUGUGUGUGACUGCGUGUGCUGGAUGAUGUGUGUGACUGCGUGUGCUGGAUGAUGUGUGUGACUGCGUGUGCUGGAUGAUGUGUGUGUGAGUGCUGGUUGAUGUGUGUGUGAGUGCUGGAUGAUGUGUGUGUGUGUG